rnacentral:tRNA from 1 species
GUGGGUGUAGCUCAGCUGGUUAGAGCACCAGGUUGUGGCCCUGGGGGUCAUGGGUUCGAGUCCCUUCACCCACC